UACGUAGGGUGCAAGCGUUGUCCGGAAUUAUUGGGCGUAAAGAGCUUGUAGGCGGUUUGUCGCGUCUGCUGUGAAAUUUCGGGGCUCAACCCCGAACUUGCAGUGGGUACGGGCAGACUAGAGUGUGGUAGGGGAGACUGGAAUUCCUGGUGUAGCGGUGAAAUGCGUAGAGAUCCGGAGGAACCCCAGAGGCGAAGGCGGCAGCCUGGUUGGUAUCUGACGCUCGGACACGACAGCA
rnacentral:rRNA from 1 species